UCUUUUUUCUAACUCAAACAGCCAGAAACUUUUGAAUUAUUUUAAGAGUUCACACAUUCAGAAACAUGUAAAUCCAAAGGUGAUAACUCAGAAACAUGUGAAUCUUAGGAGAAGAGUUAAGACCUUUAGAGGAGAGAAGUUAAUCCCACAUCCACUGCCCCUGGGCAGUGCUGAACAAUUUGGAAACUCUGAUUGGCCUUUAUGAAAAGGGGCAGGGACAGGAAACCACCAUAAAAGUCAUGUGAUCCCUCAGCUUAGUGAGUCUGGUGAAGCUGAGUCUUGUGGAGAGUGUCUCCUGGAGAUAGUCUUCAAGGGAACUUCACUGGAGACUGCAGUAUGGAUUGUGACUUCAACUUAGAAUCUGUCUCCUUGACUACUUCAUUGGGUGAGUGAAAAGACUGGCUCCCUUCUUAGUUUCUUAAGAGACUAUCUUUCAUCUUGGAGGAGGCAGCAUGGUUACUCACUAGGGACUCUCCUGGCUGCGGACUAGUAUAGUCUCUGGCUGGAUCUCUCUUUGAGGAGGACUCUGGCUGGAACUCUCUAUGGUGAAGUCAGCUGAGAUGGAGCUGGCCUGGUGUCACUAGAAUUCUUGCUUAGAUAGACCUUGUGAUAUCUCAACAGAAGUCAGAACAGAACAGAGUGGAAGCCACAGCUGAAAUAAUUAAAGAAGAACAAUGGACCCCAUAGCUACAUUUCCUCAGUCUCUUCUUUAAAUCCCUUAUCACCCAGGAAGUCUUCAAGUACUUUUUUUAUUGAAAAUCACUCGCCAUAUCAGUCAGCCUUGAGACAAAUAGAUCAGGAAA